rnacentral:lncRNA from 1 species
GUAAAACUCAUAUGAAACAAGUUCAAAUCGUCUCAAAUCUGUACCGACCUAAGAGGUUCAGAAAAAGAAAUCAGGGUUUCGAAGAGAACAACACAUAAGUGAAGAAACAUGCUUAGAAACCCAUAGAUCAUAGGUGAUAUAGGAAGAUCUUACUCGGAAUCAUGCUUGAAUAGCCUAAAACAGGUGAGAAAGGGACCAUAGAUGUAAGCCAACUGACUCUGGUUCCUUGAGGACCCUGGAUAUUGGAGUACCAAUUUGAGGGAGGCCUUUAGAGGACUGGGAGUGGUGAGAACUUAUCAUAGAUAGCCAUAGAUGAGUGUCAAUGAGGUUUGAUUAGGGUUAGGCUUGGGAGAGUUUGAGAGAAGAGAA